rnacentral:rRNA from 1 species
AGCGCAGGCGGUUUCUUAAGUCUGAUGUGAAAGCCUUCGGCUCAACCGAAGAAGUGCAUCGGAGACUGGGAAACUUGAGUGCAGAAGAGGACAGUGGAACUCCAUGUGUAGCGGUGAAAUGCGUAGAUAUAUGGAAGAACACCAGUGGCGAAGGCGGCUGUCUGGUCUGUAACUGACGCUGAGGCUCGAAAGCAUGGGUAGCAAACA